rnacentral:lncRNA from 1 species
CUCUCCUGCUCUGCUCAUGCCUCACUAGCUAUGUACUGUAACAGUAUGUCAGGGGCCUUUGGUGGGACUCUGAGACUUGCUAGCUUCAGGUACCAGGUUGGCCGCAGAGGGAUAGAGCAACAAGCAGGCUCUUGGAGUCCCUGAUUCCAGAACUUGCCUCUUGGACAGCAUUUCUGGACCUGCCUGGGGCCAGACGGGAGUUCACUGGUCUGAAGGGUGAGUCCCAGGCCAGGCAGCAUUCACCAUAUGCUGAUUGAAGAGCCCUUGAACCAUAAGGGAACAUCAGCAGUAGUCUGGCAGUACUCCUUGUGGGCCUGUGGUGGCACUGGCCGUGGGGUGAGGCUCCUCUCCUAUUGGAAAGGGGAGGGAAGAGUGGGAAGGACUGCAUCUUGUGGUUUGAGUGUCAGUUCAGUUGCAAUACAGUAGAACACCAGGUAGACUUCUGAGGUUUUUGACUCUACUCCUUAGCUCCUGGAUGGCAUCUAGACCUGCCUGGGGACUGGGGGAACUUGCCACUCUGAAGGGAGAGACACAGGCCUGGCUGGCUUUCCCACAUGCUGAUUGUAGAGCCCCAGGCUGUGAGUGAACAUAGGCCAUAGCCACGGAAUGGUUACAGCAGGCCUUAGGAAAGACUCAGUGCUGUGCUGGCUUUAGCUCUAAUCCAGCACAGUCAUACCUGAUGGCCACAGAGGUGCUUGUAUUAGUCCACCCCAAGCUUCAGAUGGCUCAGAAUAGAGAGACACUCUGCUUGUCUGGGAGAAAGUAAAGGGAGAGAACAAGAGUCUCUGCCUGGUAAAUCUUAUCCAAGAACAUCAGGUAGUAACUCUACAAGUCUGCAAGAAUCAUAGUGUUACUGAACUUAUAUUGUCCCUAAAGCAGAUACAGCUUAGAUCACAGCACCCAAGUUCUUUCAAUUAUCUGGAAAGCCUUCCCAAGAAGCACGGGUACAAACAAGCUCAGACAGUGAAGACUGCAAUAAAUACCUAAUUCUGCAAUGCCCAGACACAAACAAACAUCUGAAAGUAUUAAGACAAUCCAGGAAAAUAGGCCCUCACCAAGUGAAUGAAAUAAGACACCAGGGGCCAAUCCUGGAGAAACAGAUAUAUGACCUUCCAGACAAAGAAUUCAAAAUAACUGUUUUGAGGAAACUCAAAGAAAUUCAAGGUAACCCAGAGAAGGGAUUCAGAAUUCUAUCAGAUUAAUUUAACAAAGAGAUUGAGAUAAUUUAAAAGACUCAAGCAGAAAUUCUGGAGCUGGGCCACGUGUGGUGGCUCAUGCCUAUAAUCCCAG